rnacentral:misc_RNA from 1 species
AUUCGCCGAAUGAGCGAGAAAAUCUCGUUACUACUGUGUGCUGCUGAUCUUCUGAACAAUCUGUAGCGUCCAUGCUUCUGAGAAAUUUGCUGAAAAUGGAAAGUGGGAUUUGGACCUUUAGAUAGUAUUGAGAGGCCAUCACGAACAGGCAGUGCUGAAGGAGAAUCAGAGCCCUCAUUCUGAAUGGAAAAUGAAUUCCUACCCAAAGAUGGUUUUUGAGUGCAGAAGAAAAGUGGCAAGUCCUCUGCUUCAAAUCCAUGUUUAGCUAUGAUCAUUGGAGUAGCCGGAGAAUUGGGGUUUCU